CACACAACGGAAGCCCAUUGCCCAACAUUGCACAAUAUUGAUAGAAAAACUGUUAAUUAAUAAUUUACAAAGUUGGAGAGAACCCAGCUUUCUUUGCAGCGCUGUGAAAGUGUUUUUUUCUGUUCUGUGACUUUAUUUUAUAACCUACACUGGGAUGACCGGAGGCAGUAAGUGGAGUCAGUUUGCCGUAUUCCUGUUAUGCUAACGUUAGCUAACCUAUGCAACCAAUUCUACUGCGAGCUUUAGAGAUACACACCACAACUGGUUGCCCUGUACAGGCAGAAGGCCAAGAGAGCCCUGCAGAGAUCCUCAGGAUUAAUGACCUUCAGGAACAACACGAGGUACACAUGAGAUGCCGUCCGACCCUCCGUGGCCUCCCAGUGAACUUGCUAGAGGAUGACUGAUGUCUUCAAAACCUGCAAUAGCUUCGGUACCAGUGUCUCCUGCCAGCCCUCCACCACUCAACUCAGCUUCAACUCAGACCAUUUUCAUUCAUCCUUCAUCAUCUCCUCUCGUCUGCCUGCCUGCCCCCUGCCAUCGCCAGCCACGCUCUCUCUCCUAUUCCCUGGCUAGACGUUUUCUUGUCAUUAAAAUACUUUUAUCUUAUGUCUAUUACUGGACCUCAGUGCUGCUUUUGAUACCAGUGAUCAGUACUCCUAGAUUGUCUUGAAAAGUACUGUAGGUCUCUGACUUGGCUCUCGUAUGGUUAAAAUUGUAUCUUUUUGGAAGAAUACAGUGUGUUUGUUAUAUUAACAUUACAUCAUUAUUUUUCACUGAUGUGAAAUAUGGAGUACCUCAGGGUUAUGUUCUGUCUUGCGUUUGGUUCUCUAGGCAAUAUCAUAACUAAGAACUAACGCUUGUUUUUAUCCAUCUGGACAUGAAGAAGAAUAUGAAUGCAUUAAUAUUACAUCCAUGAAUAAAUAAUAUACUGUAGA